ACUACGGGAGGCAGCAGUGGGGGAUAUUGCACAAUGGGGGGAACCCUGAUGCAGCGACGCCGCGUGGGUGAAGAAGCGCCUCGGCGCGUAAAGCCCUGUCAGCAGGGAAGAAAAUGACGGUACCUGAAGAAGAAGCCGCGGCUAACUACGUGCCAGCAGCCGCGGUAAUACGUCGGGGGCAAGCGUUAUCCGGAUUUACUGGGUGUCAAGGGGGCGGAGACGGCGAUGCAAGCCAGGAGUGAAAGCCCGGGGCCCAACCCCGGGACGGCUCUUGGAACGGCGUGGCUGGAGUGCAGGAGGGGCAGGCGGCAUUCCUGUUGUAGCGGUGACAUGCGUCGAUCUCAGGAGGAACCCCGGUGGCG
rnacentral:rRNA from 1 species